AUUGAACGCUGGCGGCAUGCCUUACACAUGCAAGUCGAACGGCAGCGCGGGGCAACCUGGCGGCGAGUGGCGAACGGGUGAGUAAUAUAUCGGAACAUACCCUAGAGUGGGGGAGUAACGUAGCGAAAGUUACGCUAAUACCGCAUACGCACUAAGGUGGAAAGUAGGGGGAGUCUUCGGACCUCAUGCUCAUGGAGUGGCCGAUAUCUGAUUAGCUAGUUGGUGAGGUAAAGGCUCACCAAGGACGACGAUCAGUAGCUGGUUUGUAGAGAACGACCAGCACACUGGAACUGAGACACGGUCCAGACUCCUACGGGAGG
rnacentral:rRNA from 1 species